rnacentral:rRNA from 1 species
AACGUAGGUACCGAGCGUUAUCCGGAUUUACUGGGCGUAAAGCGCGUUCAGGCGGCCGACCAAGUCGGGCAUGAAAUCUCUCGGCUCAACCGGGAGGGGUUGUCCGAUACUGGCCGGCUGGAGGGCAGUAGAGGGUGGUGGAAUUCCGGGUGUAGUGGUGAAAUGCGUAGAGAUCCGGAGGAACACCAGUGGCGAAGGCGGCCACCUGGACUGUACCUGACGCUCAAACGCGAAAGCUAGGGGAGCGAACGGG